UCCCUCUGGAACAGCAGUCUGUACUUUUCUAUAUUUAGAGGAAGUCUCAAGUGUAGGACGAUUGCUGCAGUCUGGAGUCUUCACUGGUACAGCAAGAUGAUGGAUUGUUUUUCAGUACUUGUUUCCUCCUAUGUAAUGAUUAUUUUUUUCUUUGUAGCUUCACAUUACUGGUUUGCUGCGUUGCUGUUCCCCAGACCAAGCAGAAGCAUCUGUAACAUCUGAAGGAAGAACCCAGGCCCGCAGCUCACCCACUACAGAACCUAGGGACCUUAUCCUUCUUCCAGGUGUUUUUGGUGAGUCCAUAGAACAGACACCGUUCCAGGAACUUGAGAUACAUCAGUGAACAGAAUUAAGGUCCUUGACUUCGUUCAGCUUAUGUUCUACCCAGAGAAUUCAGACACAAACAAUACUCUUAAUAGAAAGGGUCUCUGCCACCCAGGCUGAAGUGCAGUGGUGUGAUCUCAGCUUACUGCAGCAUCCAUCUCCAGAGCUCAAGCGAUCCUGCCACCUCAGCCUCCCAAGUAGCUGGGACUAAAGAACACCUCAAGAUGGCAUUACAGAUCCCAUAUUCAGAGAUGAUAGAAUCCACUCUAACUUGAGGCCUUGGCAGCUGCUCUGUUUUGAAACAGUAAUUUUAAAAGACACAAAUAGCAAUUAAGGACCUUUCCAGGUCAUGCUAGGAGAAGACUCAGAUCAUCAAGGAGUAAGAACUCAGCAAGAAAUCCAGACCCCUUUAAUGCAAAGAUCUCUGACUCUUUCAUUUCCAACUCUUGAGCACCGGCAUAAAGGAAGGGGUAAGUUGUAUGUUUUUCAGCCAGCCACAACCACAGCCAGGGGCUGCCAGACUGAAGAAGGACAAAAAAGAAUAAGGAGAGAAAAGAAAAAAGAAUCUACCUAGGAAAGGUUCUGGACGGACAAAAAGAGUGAAACUGGGAGACCGCCUUUACCAAGGGUCAUACAGCCCGCCAGGCUUAGUGGGUAGCCCACUCACCCUUACCAGUAGGGACCUGGUCCUCUAUGCCCUUACUCACUGAAUAUCCUCAGAGUGUAACUGGACAGCUUUGCAGAGGUCUCUGUGGCUAUCUGGGCACUGUAAAAGCCUGUGUUUUCCAUCUCCAGGUUGCUGAGCUGCGGGGAGUAGGACUGGGUGAAGCUCAGUCGCUUUUGCCAUUUCGGAUGAGUCAUGUAGAUUUUUGGACUUUUGCCUUCAUAGGGUUCUAGGAAGGCAAAAGAUGUUCCAUUGCAAAGCCAAGUGAUGAACUGGAUCCUCUCUCCUGCAGGAAACUCCAGGGGAAGAGUUACUGACUCCCCCAGAACCCCAUUCCCCAUCAAUGGGGUUGAGCUGCUUUGUGAAACUAGAUUCCCUGUGAACACAGAAGGAAAAGGCUACAAAAUGUCCCUGACAAUUGUCCCUCCCCACAAGUCUCCCAGUCAGUCAUAGCUCCCCUAUGUUGGGGCCCACAAGAAUGUUGGACAUAAACAGGUAUUAGCAGUGGUGUUGUGGCCGGAGCUCAAAGUGGGCAAUGCUUAAACUCUCCUUCCUGCUGGGAUCUCCAGUGAUCACCCCAGGGAUCCUUCCAGCUAGGAUCACUCAUCCCUGUCUCUGGGGUUGUGUUCCCCUGAGAGCUAUUGGCCCUGGAAGACCAGAAUGGAGACCACUGGGGAAGUCAGAAGCCAGCCUUGCCCUGCCUGGUCCCUCUUUUUUUUUCAGUUUGAGAUUUCAACUCUCACAACUUCCUAUUUUCUGAAAUGUUUCUGCCCCACAGAACUGGAGUUUCACUGUCACUGCAGUUCUGGUAUCUCAAAGGUAUGUGAUAUAAAGAUCUCAGAUGACAUACAGGACACCUGCUUCUUAGUCCUGAUCCUGCCUCUAUUGAGAUGUGCAGCUUUGGGGAAGCCUGUUGAUUCUUCCAGUCCUUUUCUCUUCUUUUUUAAAACAAGGGAGAUAAAAUGCAGAGCUUUUCAGAAUGCUUCCAACUCUGACUUUCACAAUGUCAUUAUUCUAUGUACCUUAGAUUUUUCUCUUUUCCUUUUCCUCCUUGCCCUCAUUCACUCCCUAGUCAGUCUUUCCCAUGUCCAAGAGUCUCUCAAUGUCUUCUAUCUUCUUGUCCCCCAAUCUCCCUAAUAUGAGGUCUCAGUUCUGAAAAUAUCUGGCUGGGCUGUGCCUGUGUAGACUUCCUACCCCCUGGGAGGUCAGGGAAGGAGCCUCUGACUCAUUCACCUUUCUGAAACUGGAGGAGAAAGAGGAGAAGCUGAGCAAGAGGUUUCAUGGUGGCAGGACUGACCUGGUUUGCCUUGAAGAUCACAAGGAGUUAAGAGGAAGGCAAAAGAGAACAUUAAGUCCUGUUCUGCAGCAUGAACAGCUAAUAGAUUAAACUCUCUUUGUUCCCCAUGCUGAUCACAUGAUCACAUUUGCUAACCAUUUCUCUCUUUCUUUCUUUCUUUUCUUUUCUUUUCCUUUUUUUUCUUUUUCUUUCUUUCUCCAUUCUCACACUGCUACAAAGAACUUCCUGAGACUGGGUAAUUUAUAAAGGAAAGAAGUUUAAUUGACUCACAGUUCCACAUGUCUGGGGAGGCCUCAGGAAACUUACAAUCAUGGUGGAAGGCAAAGGGGAAGCAAGGACCUUUUUCACACAGUAGCCGGGGAGAGAAGUACAAGCAGGGGAAAUGCCAGACACUUAUGAAACCAUCAGAUCUCAUGAGAACUUAUUCACUUUCACAAGAACAGCAUGGAAGAACCACCCCCAUGAUCCAAUCACCUCCCACCAGGUUUCUCCUUCAACACGUGGGGAUUACAAUUCAGGAUGAGAUAGAUGAGAUUUGGGUAGGUGCACAAAGCUAACCAUAUCUCUUUCUCUCGUUCUUUCUUGUUUGCUUCCUGGCUUUUUUUCUUUUGUUCUUUCUUUCCUCCUUCUUCGUGUGUGUGUGUGUGUGUGUGUGUGUGUGUGUGUAGCAGAGAGCAUAUGGGAAAUCUCUGUAUCUUUCACUCAGUUUUUUAAAUGGACACAAUAUUUGUUCGUAUUUAUGGGGUACAAUGUGAUAUUUUGAUACAUAUAUACAAUGUGUUAUUUUCUUUUAAUUGGGCUAGACACUUGCCUCAGCUUCAGUCCUUAUAGUCCUCAUUUGUUCAGAAAUAUUGAGAUUCCACUGUAGAAGAACCUAAUACACUUAUGAAAUGGUUCUGAUAUAAUUGGCUAGUUUUGGUCAGACACAGUGGCUUACACCUGUAAUCCCAGCACUUUGGGAGGCUUAGGCAGGUGGAUCACUUGAGGCCGUGAGUUCGAGAGCAGCCUGGCCAACAUUGUAAAACCCCAUCUCUACUAAAAAUACAAAAAUUAGCCAGGCAUGGUGGCGUGUGCCUGUAAUCCAUACUCGAGAGGCUGAGGCAGGAGAAUCACUUGAACCCGGGAGGUGGAGGUUGCAGUGAGCCAAGAUUGUGCCACUGCACUCCAGCCUGGGCAACAGAGCAAGACUCUGUCUCAAUAAUAAUAACAAUAAUAAUUGGCUGGUUUUUUCUAUUUAAAUCCCUGUCUUACCCUUAACAUAAAAUACACCCUGAAUGGUUUACAAAGUUAAAUGAAAAGAAUAAAACCACCAUGUGCUGCUACCUCCAAAUAAGUAAUAGGAAUUAAGUGGAAGGUGCUACAUGGUCUGUCCCAACAAUGCACUUUUUAAGAAAACAGGUGCAAUACAAUUCAAUUGAUCAGCAAAAAAAUUCCUCCAGCACUGUUGGCAUUGAUGAGCUUGACCCAAUACUUCUUUGGAUUGGCAAUGGACUUUGUUACAUAGGGCUGGAUUCAUAAAAUACCACUGGCAUCAUGUAAUAAACACUAAUGUAGACUAUCUUAUGAUGGGGUUAAGGGGUGGAUAAUUACAAGAAUAAAGAGCCCAAGGGCAAGCAUGUAGCCAGAACUCAAAAAGCACUUAAUCUAGGAAAUGAAAACCAAGGGGACACCAACCAGGACUGUCUCUUGACCCUGUUCUGUAUGUGUCUAAUUUACUUUUCUCUUUCUGGAUCAGCUCUCUCUCCACCUGCCUACUGGUAGAAUAUGGUCACCAGUACACAGCUAUUAUAGGGCUAGCCAUAUCUAGAGACUCAUCACCGUUCUCUCUCCUUGUCUUCAUUUCUUCCUUCUCUCCCGAUUCAAAAUUCCUGGGAGAAGGGACUCUAGUUAGGGCAGUAAGGUUAUCUGCAAAUUUGCCUAUCUCAUUCUUACUUUCCACAAUGUGAGAAAGUAAGGGUAUUCUAGUAAAGUGGAAAACCAUUCUCAACUGCUAAUAAUUCAAGAGAAUUGGCCUAACAUAGGACUGUUUUUAGAAAUUUUCAGCCAAGCAUUAGUUGAGAUAAUUGUAAAUGAACUCCCAAAAUAUCUACCAACACAAACUCAAUAUUUAUUACUAUUUUUGCCACUCUUAUUUUAUGUAUACUUUUCUUCCUUUCUUCUUAUCCAAGUGUUGAAAGCAAAUCCUAUAUAUUAUGCUAUCAUCCCUACAUAUUUCACUAUGUGUUUAAAAAUAGAUACAUAUACUUUCUUACAUAACCUUAAUGCCAUUAUCCCAACUAAAAAACUGAAAAAUAAUUCAUUGGUAUUGUAAAAUACCUGGUCCAUAUUCAAAGUUCCUCUGAUGGCAAAAAACAUGUCGUAGUUGGUUUUGUUUUAAUCAGGAUCCAGACAAAAUCCUUAUGCUAUGUUUUGUUAUUGAACCUCAUAAAUAUCUUCUAGUAUAGAGAAUUCAGUACUCUUUUCUCCCCUCCUUUUUUCCCCCUUUUUGUUUUUGGAGGGAAGUCUCUCCUUCACUCUUCCCUUUUCUCAUGAAUUUAUAAACUUAACUAUUUCAAUCAACUGCAAUCAUCUCUAUAUUGGUGCUUAAAUUUUCUCACUUGUGGCCAAUAUGAGCACCCUCCCCCAACUUUAUGUUGGUUCCUAUAUUAUUUUAACAUGCCUGCAUUAAUAUUUUUAAAUUUCUUUGAAUUCUUGAACAAGAAAGUAUCCCAGGCUUAUCUUGUUCAUUAUCUGCUAUAGACAGGAGAUCAGCCAUUUCUCAAAAGAUGACUGAUUCUUUUCAUGGGGGAAUAGUAUGUAAGGAUCAAAAUUUUGUCUCUAAGCAUACAUACUGAUAUUGGGUUGCAUUGCUUCCAGGUCUUUUUAGAGAAAAGAACUAGAAAAUUCAUAUUCUAAAAAAUAGAACAAAAGUUUGCAUAUAUUUUCCUGAUUUUUAUUUAGAUUAUUUGUUUUACACGUAUCUUUUUUUUCUUACAAGAGAAAGCCUAUUUUUUGACAGCACUGAUGUAAAAACAUGUUCAGUUUAUCUUGGAAAAAAUAUAUAGUUUUUAAAUAAUAAUACCAAAAUUAUUUAUAGCAACAAUAAACACUGAAUGAGUAUAGAAUUUCUUUACAAAUCUACUUAUCCUUAGAAUAUCCUCCACUUAGAAUGUAUAAUUAAAAUGUUGGGGCUGAUUUUACUGCUGUCAAAUCAGCUUAAGAUUAAAUAGGGUUCUCCAUGGAUCAGCCCUCUGACCAAGCAAGACUGUGAGACCUUGCUGCUCAAGGAAGGUGGGGAUGGCAACUUUUUGUUAAGAGACAGCGAGUUGAUGACAGGAGUCCUGUGCCUCUGUAUCUGUUGAGUAGCCUCAUCUUUCACACAAGACAUCUUAUGUUGAAUGCAGCAACGGCUGCCACACAUCACAGGAAUUAAUAUGCCUCAGGAUUUCACUCUGACCUUGCAGCUCCAAUGAGUAGAGUGAGAAAUCGUAGACACUGCCAGGAAAGGAUGGAAGGAAUGUGCCUGUCCAUGGUCCUCCAUCUGCCCUGUUGUCCCUGGUGUAAGUGUGAGCCGACUCUGUAGCAGCAGGAGGGAUGUGGGGUGGUGGUGAAGGGAACUUACAAGAUGUAGAAAACUACCUCAAAAGAUCAAAUCUAUAAAUUAUUGAUGUUCAGGAGGGGGUUGAGCAAAAGCAAAGGGUACAAAGCUUAUUUAAAGAAAUAGUUGGGCAUAGUGGCUCAUGCCCAUAAUCCCAGCACUUUGGGAGGCUGAAGAGGAUGGAUCGCUUGAGCACAGAAGUUCGAGACCAGUCUGGGCAACAUGGCGAAAUCCCUUCUCUAUUAAAAAAAUACAAAAAUUAUUCAGGCAUAGCGUCACAUGCCUGUAGUCCCACCUACUUGGCAGGGCUGAGGUGGAGGGAUCACUUCAGCCUGGGAGGCAAGAGUUGCAGUGAGCCAAGAUUGCUCCACUGCACUCUGGCCUGGGUGACAGAGUAAAACCUGGUCUCAACAAAAUAAUGUAAUAAGAAGUUUUUAAAAUUUAUUUUUUUAAAAAGAAGUAACUACAGAAAACUUCCCAAAACUUGAGAAAAGUAUAAAUAUCCAGGUACAGGAAGGACAAAGAACACCAAACAGAUUAAACUCAAAUAAGACUACCCCAAGGCAUAUAAUAAACUCUCAAAGGUCAAGCACAAAGAAUCCUAAAAGCAGCAAGAGAAAAGAAGCAACUAACAUAGCAAGAAACUCCAAUUCAUCUGGCAAUAGACUUCUCAAUGGAAACCAUACAGACCAGCAAGGAAUGGGAUGAUAUUUUCAAAGUGCUAAAAGAUAAAAACUACCAUGUUAGAAUACUGUAACCAGCAAAGCUAUCCUUCAAAUAAAGGAGAGAGAAAGUCUUCCCAGACAAACAGAAGAGGAGAAAAUUUAUCAUCACCAGACACACCUUAUAAGAAAUGCUAAAGAGAAGGAAAAAAAAACCCACAAAUGUGCAGAAAGAAGUCAUUUGAAGGUACAAAAUCCACUGGUAAAAUUAAGUACAUGGACAAACCCAAAAUACACUAAUACUGUAAUUGUGGUGUGCAGUUCACUCAUGAAUCUAGUAUGAAGCCCCAUAGACAAAUCUAUUGAAACCAGUAAUAGCUAGAGCAACCUGUUAAGAGAUAAGCAGUAUAAAAUAUGCAAAUUGGGACAACAAAAAGUCAAAAUGUGAGGGGGAUGGAAUUAAAGUGUAGAGGGUUAUUUUUUCUUUUUCUUUUUGUUUGUUUCUAUUCUUUUCUUUGUGAUCUAAGACAAGUCGUCACCUCUUUAAAAUGUCUCAUUAUAUCUAUGAUGUGUUUUUUGUAAGCCUCAUGGUAACCACAGUGCAAAAACCUAUAAUAGAUUCACUAAAAAUAAAAAGCAACAAAUUAAGACAUACUAUCAUAGCAAAUUGAUUAACCACAAAAAAAGACAGUAAGAAAGGGAAAGAGGGAUUACAAAACAACCUGAGAACAAGCAACAAAAUUUCAGUAAUAUGUCCUUAUGUAUCAAUAAUAACACAAUUUAAAAGGUCUCAAUUCUCCAACGAAAAGUCAGAGUGGCUGAAUGAAUAAAGAAACAAGACCCAACUAUACGCUGCCUAGAAGACAUUCACUUCACCGAUAAAGACACACACAGACUGAAAAUAAAGGAGUGGAGAAAAAUAUUCCAUGCAACUGGAAACCAAGUAGGAGCAGGAGUAGCUAUACUUAUAUGAGAUAUUAUAGACUACAAAUCAGAGACUAUAAAAGGAGACAAAGAAGGUCACUAUAUAAUGAUAACUCAGCAAGAAGAUAUCACAAUUAUAAGUAUCUAUGCACCCAACACUGGAGCUCCCAAGUAUAUAAAGCAAACAUUAACAGAUCUAAAGGGAGAGAUAGACUGCAAUUCAAUAAUAGUAGGGAACUUCAACAUCCCACUCUCAGUAAUAGACAGAUCAUCCAGACAGAAUGUCAACAGAGAAGCAUUAAACUAUACACUAGACCAAGUAGGUCUAACUGACAUUGACAGAACAUUUCACCCAACUGCCACAGAAGACACGUUAUUUUAAUCAGUGCACAGAACAUUCUCCAAAAUAGACCAUGUCUUAGACCACAAAACAAGUCUCAACAAAUUCAAAAAAGUACACAUCAUAUUACACAUAUUUUCUGACCACAAUGGGAUAAAUGAUACUUGAUGAUACCAACAAUAAUACAAAUACUACGCGAUGUAAAAUGGUAAAGACACUUUGGAAAAUAGUUUGAUUUCUUAAAAAGUUAAAAGUAGACCAUUCCUAGAUAUUUACCCAAAGAAAUUAAAACAUAUGUUUCCCUCCCCCUCCCCCUCCCCCUCUCCCUCUCCCUCUCUCCCUCUCCCUCUCCCUCUCCCCACGGUCUCCCUCUCCCUCUCUUUCCCCGGUCCCCCUCUGAUGCCGAGCCGAAGCUGGACUGUACUGCUGCCAUCUCGACUCACUGCAACCUCCCUGCCUGAUUCUCCUGCCUCAGCCUGCCAAGUGCCUGCGAUUGCAGGCGCGCGCCACCACGCCUGACUGGUUUUCGUAUUUUUUUGGUGGAGACGGGGUUUCGCUGUGUUGGCCGGGCUGGUCUCCAGCUCCUAACCGCAAGUGAUCCGCCAGCCUUGGCCUCCCGAGGUGCCGGGAUUGCAGAUGGAGUCUUGCUCACUCAGUGCUCAAUGGUGCCCAGGCUGGAGUGCAGUGGCAUGAUCUCGGCUCGCUACAACCUCCACCUCCCAGCCGCCUGCCUUGGCCUCCCAAAGUGCCGAGAUUGCAGCCUCUGCCCGGCCGCCACCCUGUCUGGGAAGUGAGGAGCGUCUCUGACUGGCUGCCCAUCGUCUGGGAUGUGAGGAGCCCCUCUGCCUGGCUGCCCAGUCUGGAAAGUGAGGAGCGUCUCUGCCCGGCUGCCAUCCCAUCUAGGAAGUGAGGAGCGUCUCUGCCUGGCCGCCCAUCGUCUGAGAUGUGGGGAGCGCCUCUGCCCUGCCGCCCCGUCAGGGAUGUGAGGAGCGCCUCUGCCCAGCCGUGACCCCGUCUGGGAGGUUUAAAAAUAUUGUCUACACAUACCGAAUCUUCAGAGAGAAACACGGGUAUUACAGGAUACAGACUGCAGAAGGUUCUCCAAAAC